AAAUUGAAGAGUUUGAUCAUGGCUCAGAUUGAACGCUGGCGGCAGGCCUAACACAUGCAAGUCGAACGGUAACAGGAAGCAGCUUGCUGCUUUGCUGGCGAGUGGCGGACGGGUGAGUAAUGUCUGGGAAACUGCCUGAUGGAGGGGGAUAACUACUGGAAACGGUGGCUAAUACCGCAUAACGUCGCAAGACCAAAGAGGGGGACCUUCGGGCCUCUUGCCAUCAGAUGUGCCCAGAUGGGAUUAGCUUGUUGGUGAGGUAACGGCUCACCAAGGCGACGAUCCCUAGCUGGUCUGAGAGGAUGACCAGCCACACUGGAACUGAGACACGGUCCAGACUCCUACGGGAGGCAGCAGUGGGGAAUAUUGCACAAUGGGCGCAAGCCUGAUGCAGCCAUGCCGCGUGUAUGAAGAAGGCCUUCGGGUUGUAAAGUACUUUCAGCGGGGAGGAAGGUGUUGUGGUUAAUAACCACAGCAAUUGACGUUACCCGCAGAAGAAGCACCGGCUAACUCCGUGCCAGCAGCCGCGGUAAUACGGAGGGUGCAAGCGUUAAUCGGAAUUACUGGGCGUAAAGCGCACGCAGGCGGUCUGUCAAGUCGGAUGUGAAAUCCCCGGGCUCAACCUGGGAACUGCAUUCGAAACUGGCAGGCUUGAGUCUUGUAGAGGGGGGUAGAAUUCCAGGUGUAGCGGUGAAAUGCGUAGAGAUCUGGAGGAAUACCGGUGGCGAAGGCGGCCCCCUGGACAAAGACUGACGCUCAGGUGCGAAAGCGUGGGGAGCAAACAGGAUUAGAUACCCUGGUAGUCCACGCCGUAAACGAUGUCUACUUGGAGGUUGUGCCCUUGAGGCGUGGCUUCCGGAGCUAACGCGUUAAGUAGACCGCCUGGGGAGUACGGCCGCAAGGUUAAAACUCAAAUGAAUUGACGGGGGCCCGCACAAGCGGUGGAGCAUGUGGUUUAAUUCGAUGCAACGCGAAGAACCUUACCUGGUCUUGACAUCCACAGAAGAAUCCAGAGAUGGAUUUGUGCCU
rnacentral:rRNA from 1 species